UACGAAGGGGGCUAGCGUUGCUCGGAAUCACUGGGCGUAAAGCGCACGUAGGCGGACUCUUAAGUCAGGGGUGAAAUCCUGGAGCUCAACUCCAGAACUGCUUUUGAUACUGGGGGUCUUGAGUUCGGGAGAGGUGAGUGGAACUGCGAGUGUAGAGGUGAAAUUCGUAGAUAUUCGCAAGAACACCAGUGGCGAAGGCGGCUCACUGGCCCGAUACUGACGCUGAGGUGCGAAAGCGUGGGGAGCAAACAGG
rnacentral:rRNA from 1 species